ACGAGUGUCAUUUGGAUGCAUGAAAGGUGCACUUGCAGCACCUCUUCAUAGGUUGAUAACUCCAAAGGGAUUUGUUCUCAUGCUUUGGGACAAUUGUGAUCCUUUUUCUUCCUCUUCUUCGUCUUUUAUCCCUCGCUCAUUUGGUUCACUAGGAGAGGCUUACUCCGUUAAGACCAACUCUCUUUUUCCAGACCAUGUUAAUGGCGACUCAUCAAGAAUACUUGUGGUUCCUUUGUUACUUGGUCUUUUCUUUGGUGAAGAGCUUAUUGAUCUGGUUGGUGCUUUAGUGAUCAUCUGAGGAAUAAGCUGGCGCAAGCUUAUGCGUGUUAUUCUCAUCUUGUUCUUGAAGCCUUGUGGAAUAUGAGGGACAUUAACCCUGCAAAUAGGGACCUUUGAAUCUUUAGAAUAACGUCGGCGGCUUGCCUUCUUUUUCUCUAUUUUGUAGGCUUUUUUGAUGCCUCUUUAGAUUCUGGUGAUAUAUCAAGGCAGUCUUGACGUUGCUUGGCAUUUGAUUGUUCUUGUAGUUUCUCCACCCAGAUCUGUUGAUCUACAGAUAUUUCACAUUGCUUCAAUGGAUCUUCAGACGAAUGAUCUCCCUGAAUUCAGUCAUGGAUCGUUCAGAAACGCUACGUUCGAGGCUUCCAACCCUUCUUACCAGAGGAACACUUCCUUGGGCUGUUUUCCUGCGCCAAGGAAUCCUUGGUCUUCUGUAUCAUUGGUUUCCUCCUCCACCUCCGCCUCCUUCGAGGAGGAAAUGGAUUCGUCAAGCCAUGGUCUCAUGCCCCCUACUUUGCCCAGUUGUGUUUCAAGCUGUGUUGGAUCAUCGCCUGCCGUCUUCUUUGCUUCUGAGCAAUCGAUGAGCUUCCCUCAUCUUUACUUGUACCGAUCUGAUACCCUUCCAUCUUUCUCUAAAUCAACAAAGAACAGGCCUGCAGCAGCAUCGUUCUUCUUCGAUAGAGACGACGACUCCGUGAAGCAAUACAGACUUCCUUCCCAGCCGAGGGAUGCUUUGGACCCGGACUUGAAGCUUCCAAUGCUGCAGAACACAAGGGCAAGUUCCAGAGAUGGUUUCCAGGCCAGCCGGAUUCAACCUUAUCCAGGAAGAGCAGAUUGGAGUGCCUCAUUGCAAACGAAGCAUUUAAGUCCACCUCAAGUUGUUCAUGAUCCUUCUGUCGGAUGGGGUAUACCGAGCUGUUCAAUGGACAAGCCAAACCUUCGUCUUCAAACAGAGAAGCAACUGCCCAUCACCUCUGCAAGUGUCUCGUCUGCCACAGCCAUCUCAAACAAAACACGAAUCAGGUGGACACAGGAUCUCCAUGAGCGGUUUGUCGAGUGCGUGAAUCGGCUUGGAGGAGCUGAGAAAGCAACUCCAAAGGGGAUUCUGAAGCUGAUGAACUCAGAUGGGCUAACCAUAUACCACGUCAAAAGCCAUUUGCAGAAAUAUCGGAUCGCCAAGCACAUACCAGAAUCUACUGAAGGCAAGUUCGAACGAAGGGCUGCUGCCGUCAGUGUCACAGAACUCGAUCCUAAAAUUGGCAUGCAGAUAUCAGAAGCAUUGCGGCUUCAGCUGGACGUGCAAAUGCGCCUCCAUGAGCAGCUAGAGAUUCAGAAGAAUUUACAGCUAAGAAUAGAGGCACAAAGCAGAAAGCUCCAGCAGAUGUUCGAAGAGCAGGUGAGAACAACCAAAGGUCCUGCCGAGCUUGAAAACCUGGGUGAUCUGUUUUCGGGGAGUCCUGCAGCGAGUCUUGAAGAUGCUCAGUUGUGGUGUGCCCCGGAUGGGCCACAGAGCGCAGACUUCCCAUUGCAGAAAUGCUAGCUUUAAGAUACAGCAUAGAAUUGCUGUGGACAAAGGGGAGGCUUCGAGGAGCUUCGAGGAGCUUCGAGGAGGCUGACCUUUGCGGACGGACACGCAAAGGUGCCGCACGAUUUAAGCAAAACCAGCUAAGUCAGGAAGAAAAAUUUUACUCCAAAAUAUUCCCUUAAUAAACAUAUUAUAACAAUUAUUUAAGACACGAUAAUUAAUAUUAAUUAUUUUUUACUAAAUUUAUUUUAUCCUCAUCAAAAUUGACGAAGAGAUCAGAUCGAAAACCCUAAUCAACCUUAGUAUUCAUACAAGUUGAUUUAGGUGGGUCCAGUAUCGAUGGAGUGUUCGUUUCGAGAGUAUCGAGCAACAACGCAAGCAUAUAUAUCUCCGGAGCGGCACGACCGGUCUCUGGAAGUCUCUGGAAUCUUCUCCUAUAAUAAAUUGCUCCUCUCCUCCACCUCGCUCCCGUUGCCCGCGCCACCGUCUUGGUUCGUGGUCGAUCUCAGCCGCCGAGGAAUUCGACACGCCCACCGACGAGGACACGAUGGACGUCCCAAAUGGCGACCCCGCCCUCCAGAUCGGCGAUUGGGUCAGAGUGUAUCUCGCUGGGACGCUGCUCGACGGGACUAAGUUCGACUCCGCCCGUGAUCGGGAUACCCCGUUCAGGUUCAAUCGCGGCCUAGGUGAGGGGGCUUUUGUUUCCAAAUUCUUGCUGUCUUGUUCGAUGAAACUGCUUCUCCUCCCUCUGCGAGUUUGAACAAAGGUCUGCUGUCAGAUGACACAGAACAUGAUCCUAAAAUUGGCAUGCAGAUAACAGGAGCAUUGCGGCUUCAGCUAGAUGUCCAAAGGCGCCUUCAUGAGCAGCUAGAGGUGCAUGCUUCCAUAAUGUUGCAGGCAACUCCGAACAAAGGGCUGCUGUCGAUGUCACAGAACAUGAUCUUACAAUUGGCAUGCAGAUAACGGAAGCAUUACGGCUUCAGCUAGAUGACCAAAGGUGCCUUCAGGAGCAGCCAGAGAUGCACUUCGUGAGACUCCUCUUACAGUAAUUUGAUUGAAGUCCUCCUGCUGAAUCAAAAAUAUCAGAAAUGUUUCUCUUUUAUUUUUCUCUUACUAAGACCCAAAGAAAUUUACAGCAGAGGAUAAAGUAGAAUGCUCCAGCAGAUGUUUGAAGAGAAAGUGAAAACAAAAAAAAGUGCUAUUGAGCCUGAAAACCUGGCUAUUUUGUUUUCAAAUAGUCCAGAGAGUCUUAAAGAUGCUCAGUUCUUGUGUGCCCCAGAUGGGUCACAGAACACAUUUCCAAUUGAAGAUUGGUUAGCUUUAAGAUGUAGCAUAUAAUUCCUGUAUAAGUGUGCAUAAAUUUACCAGCUUUCUUGCUGUUUCAUGCUGAUCAACAUGAUUAGUAUCUCUUUGCAGGUUUUAAGGAUGCCUUUUGUAAUAUCCUCAAUUACUCAAAGAGAACUUUCAGUAAGUUGAUGGUAGAUCUCCACUCUGGAUUUAGAAGGGGUUGUAGAAUUCGAUGUAAGCACCAUUUUUAAUUAGUGGAUUAAGUAUAGUGGAAUAUUUGUUUCAGAA